rfam:Oryza glumipatula chromosome 8, whole genome shotgun sequence.
AAUAAAUGCGGUUUUGCACUAUUUAUGUCCAACGUUCGAUCGUUCAUCUUAUUUGAAUAUUUUUAUGAUUAAUAUUUUUUAUUGUUAUUAAAUGAUAAAACAUGAAUAACACUUUAUGUGUGACUAUUUUUUUAAAUGAUAAAACAUGAAUAACACUUUAUGUGUGACUAUUUUUUUAAUCUUUUAUAAAUUUUUCAAAUAAGACGAACAAUCAAACGUUGGACACGGAUACCCACGGCUGCACUUAUU